CAGUAGCCGCGGUAUUACGAAGGGUGCAAGCGUUACUCGGAAUUACUGGGCGUAAAGCGUGCGUAGGUGGUGGUUUAAGUCCGUUGUGAAAGCCCUGGGCUUAACCUGGGAAUUGCAGUGGAUACUGGGUCACUAGAGUGUGGUAGAGGAUAGUGGAAUUUCCGGUGUAGCAGUGAAAUGCGUAGAUAUAGGAAGGAACACCAGUGGCGAAGGCGACCACCUGGACUGAUACUGACACUGAGGUGCGAAAGCGUGGGGAGCAAAUAGGAUUAGAUACCCCAGUAGUCCCUGUCUCUUAUAA
rnacentral:rRNA from 1 species